GACGCGGUGGUCGAACGGUUAAGCUCGUUGGACUCCGGACCGAGUGGUCCAGGUUCAUGCCCUGGCCCGGGGUCA